rnacentral:misc_RNA from 1 species
UCCCUUUUAUUUGUUCUUAAAAAAUGCAACGAGGGUAAAUGAAACCGACAGACCUUCUCGUCCGACUCCUUCCGCUGAUGACUAGUGAUUGCUCUCGUCUUUUGAGUGAAGCACGAAAAGAGGCUGGCCGACUUGGUGCAUUGCGUAAGCGCAGACCAAUGGCAGGCGGAGCCAGUGAGACUGUACGCUCUCUCAGCUCUCGCUCCCGCACGCAGCUUUUGGGUUCGUCAGGUGUUCUGAAGGCGGAGAACAGAACGGAAGCUCAUUCCCGGCAGUCAGCCACUUCCCGAUUCCGCACGAUUGAACCUUUGGACACGCCACACCGUUUCACCCUGUCAAAUGAGUUUCUCCGUUCGUUGGGCUGGUGGUCCUAGAGAGCACCUGCUACUAAUGGACAACUGGAUGCGGGAUUUUUAAAGUUUGUUGUUCUGGGUGAAGCGAACGUUAAAACAAAAACAAAAAGUGCUUUCCGACAUUGUGUUUCAAUCUGCAAGCAACGACUCCCAAACAGGAUUAUUAAGUUUCACGCGGGAGCCCUCACAGCUAAAGGGUUGUAUUGGCGUACCACCUCCGAACCACACCCGCUCUUUUGCUGCUUGUUAGUCAACGCAUUUCCACCAAAUCAACACCUUCCGCUCCGUUUCCGUUGCACAAAAAGCGGAUCAGGUCUCCAGGCUGGAACAAAUGGAAGGCUCGGAUAUUAUGCUGACUAUCUUUUUGAUCGGCCUGGGUACCCUCUUUUGGGUCGGCCUAAUGGCGGUCGGCUGUUACUGCCUCCACCUACGUCGCAAGCGGCUCCGCUCGCAUCGCGCCAAUCUCGAGGAGGAGGAGAUUAUUUUGCCCGUUCCCAAGAGCCAGCAGCAAUAUUAUGCCAUGGCCAGCCAUGCGUCGUCAUCUUCCGGAUUCACCCGCAAACUCAGAAAUCUCGGUGGUAUUGGAUUCCGCUCGCCCCUCAUCCGCACACGUUCCGUCGGAGCCCAACUCGAUGCGGGAGUCAGUGCGACUCUGCCGCUGUUGACGUCGCGGCCGGCUACGGCCACCGCGACGGCCUCCGCCUCGACCACAUCGACGCCCGUUAACGGCCGGCGAGGCUCCGAUCGUCUCAGGACGGCGGGAAAUUUGAACAUCGGAGCGAGGGCGGUGUCUACAUCCAACAGUUCGACUAACGGCGGACCGUCGGGCAAUGGAAACGCAGUCGGAAAUGGGGCAGCCAACAGCCACUCGCCUGGAGGUUCGGUCCUGGGCGCCGUAGGUGGACCUGUCUCGUCCCUGUCGCCCACCUCGUCCCCAGCGCCGUCCUCUGCAAUGAAUAAGAGCAUUGCCGGCCAGAAACAGGAGCAUCCAUCGAUGGCCUUUUGGCAGAAUCGUUCCAUAUCCCUGGUGGACAUGUACAUCGACAAUUCGGAGCCGACGGAGAACGUUGGCCAGAUCCACUUCAGCCUCGAAUACGAUUUCCAGAACACGACUCUCAUUCUCAAAAUCAUGCAGGGCAAGGAUCUGCCGCCAAUGGACAUGGGCGGCACGUCAGACCCUUACGUACGUGUCACCCUGUUGCCGGACAAGAAGCACCGGCUAGAGACCAAGAUCAAGAGAAGGACGCUCAACCCACGCUGGAACGAGACAUUCUACUUUGAAGGAUUCCCCAUCCAGAAAUUGCAAAGCCGAGUACUGCACCUGCACGUCUUCGAUUACGACCGAUUCUCACGUGACGAUUCGAUUGGUGAAGUCUUUCUGCCUCUUUGUCAGGUGGAUUUUUCGGAGAAGCCCGUCUUCUGGAAGGCACUCAAACCGCCGCUAAAAGACAAAUGCGGUGAAUUGCUCGUCUCCCUUUGUUACCAUCCCACUAAUUCGACGCUGACUUUGAUCGCCCUUAAAGCCCGCAAUCUCAAAGCGAAGGACAUUAACGGCAAAUCGGAUCCUUACGUCAAGGUGUGGCUCUACUUUGGCGAAAAGCGGGUCGAGAAACGUAAGACGCCCGUCUACAAGUGCACCCUGGAGCCGGUGUUUAACGAGACGUUCACCUUCAACGUGCCGUGGGAAAAGAUCCGCGAAUGUUCCUUAGACGUGCGCGUCAUGGAUUUCGACAACAUCGGCCGCAACGAACUCAUUGGCCGCAUUUCCCUAACUGGUAAGAACAGUACGGGUGCCUCGGAGACCAAACAUUGGCAAGAUAUGAUCACGAAGCCACGUCAGGCCGUGGUCCAGUGGCACCGUUUGAAACCAGAAUGAAGCAAUUGUGGGGCGGUGGACGUGCGCAAGCCAAUUGACGAAUGAAACGGAAGAAAAGAAACAAAAGUUUAUUCUUUAUUUCAAACGACCUCAUAAAAAGCGUCUUACGAUCUAUUUUGUUGAUCGAAAUGGCUUCGUUCACGACUCAAGACUGAAAUUCGCCGUGCAACGGAUAUUAAAAGAGAAGAUUGGCAAAUUUUGUUUCUUUCUAGUAUGGUUGCCCGUCUUUCUUUUUGUUCACUUUGAGCUUUUUCUUCGUUUGAAAUGGUUUUUCUUUUACAAACCAAAAACGGGGGUGGGGGGGAGGAAAUAUUGACGACAUUUCUGUCCUUUUACGGUCGUAUUAUUCUUUUUAUUUUUGCUACGUUAGAGCAAGACUUUGUCGAGAUGACAUCCCUUCACUAUGAUCAAUUAAAAACACACACAAAAAAAGAUGAUCUGAUUUAACCAAGAGAAAAAAAAGAACUAUUGAUAUGAAAAAUGUAUUUGUCGACAGAAAGAAGAAAAAGAAGACAUAAUAGUGACAAAAGUAUAUUUAUCAAAUCAUCCCAUAUAUGCACGGUGACAAAUUUAUACAUUUAGUGUGUGUGCGUGUGUGUGACUUGUUGCCAACGUCGACUGUAGAUUUGAUUUUCGUCUUUUAUGUAUUAUUGACUGUGGAUUAUUAUUAUAAUUUUUUUUUUUAUAUACCGAAAAAAAAAUAAUCAAGUUACUAGCAAAACACUACAAAAAUGCUACCAGAACCCCUUUUCCACUCUAGAAAUCCUUGGGCCCAUCUUUAAUUUUCGGUUCAAUUCUUCUGUUCAUUUUUAUUAAAUAUUAUUAUUGCUCGUUGGAUCUUCUGUCGUGAAGUAGUUUCUACCACACGAAAUCCCACCCGCGCCCUCGUUGCCCUUAGUCUCUCGUCUCAUCUUUCGCUUUCCUACGUCUGUCGUGUCUGAACGAUGCGAUGACAAAAUUGAUCCUCUGUGUUUGUAUCCCCUGUUCAAUGUAUAGAGAAAACCCAUCCAUAACCUUUCAUACCAGAAAUUGAAGAAAAGAGAUGAAGAAAUACACAAAAAUUAUACCAUGUAAA